rnacentral:rRNA from 1 species
UCGAGAAUUUUUCACAAUGGGCGAAAGCCUGAUGGAGCGACGCCGCGUGGGGGAUGAAUGGCUUCGGCCCGUAAACCCCUGUCAUUCGGGAUCAAUGCCUGUGGCUUAAUACACCGCAGGUUGAUAGUACCGAAAGAGGAAGGGACGGCUAACUCUGUGCCAGCAGCCGCGGUAAUACAGAGGUCCCAAGCGUUGUUCGGAUUUACUGGGCGUAAAGGGUGCGUAGGCGGUUGGUUAAGUCUGACGUGAAAUACUGGAGCUCAACUCCGGAACGGCGUCGGAAACUAUCCAGCUAGAGGAUUGGAGGGGGGACUGGAAUUCUCGGUGUAGCAGUGAAAUGCGUAGAUAUCGAGAGGAACACCGGUGGCGAAGGCGAGUCCCUGGACAAUUCCUGACGCUGAGGCACUAAAGCUAGGGGAGCAAACA